CCGGGUGAGUAACACGUGACUAACCUACCUUCGAGUGGGGGAUAACUCCGGGAAACCGGGGCUAAUACCGCAUAACAUCCUCGGAUCGGAAGAACUGGGGAUCAAAGGAGCAAUUCGCUUGAAGAGGGAGUCGCGGCUGAUUAGCUAGUUGGCGGGGUAAUGGCCCACCAAGGCGAAGAUCGGUAUCCGGCCUGAGAGGGCGCACGGACACACUGGAACUGAAACACGGUCCAGACUCCUACGGGAGGCAGCAGUGGGGAAUUUUGCGCAAUGGGGGAAACCCUGACGCAGCAACGCCGCGUGGAGGAUGAAGUCCCUUGGGACGUAAACUCCUUUCGACCGGGACGAUAAUGACGGUACCGGUGGAAGAAGCCCCGGCUAACUUCGUGCCAGCAGCCGCGG
rnacentral:rRNA from 1 species